rnacentral:rRNA from 1 species
CCUACGGGGGGCAGCAGUGAGGAAUAUUGGUCAAUGGGCUUACGCCUGAACCAGCCAAGUCGCGUGAGGGAAGACUGCCCUAUGGGUUGUAAACCUCUUUUGUCAGGGAGCAACGCCGGCUACGUGUAGCCUGACUGAUAGUACCUGAAGAAAAAGCAUCGGCUAACUCCGUCCCAGCAGCCGCGGUAAUACGGAGGAUGCGAGCGUUAUCCGGAUUUAUUGGGUUUAAGGGGUGCGUAGGCGGAGUGCCAAGUCAGCGGUAAAAUCGCGGGGCUAAACCUCGCACUGCCGUUGAAACUGGCGUUCUUGAGUAGACGAGAAGUAUGCGGAAUGCGUGGUGUAGCGGUGAAAUGCAUAGAUAUCACGCAGAACUCCGAUUGCGAAGGCAGCAUACCGGCGCCCAACUGACGCUGAGGCACGAAAGCGUGGGUAUCGAACAGGAUUAGAUACCCCUGUAGUC